rnacentral:lncRNA from 1 species
AUGAUUAAAAAUAUACAGAUAGAAAUUGAAAAUGAAAAUAGUAAUAUAAAAAAUGCAGAAGAAAAUUGUAGUGAAUUACCAGGUUAUGAAAAUGAACCAUAUAGUGAUGGUAUUAAUGCUUUUUAUUAUAAUAAUAUAUUAUUUGAAGGAAUACCAACUGAAAUAAAAAAAGUAAAAGAAAUAAAUUUUCAUUUAAAUAAUAGAGGUCCAAUAGAAAAUAUAUCACCAUAUAAAUAUUCAAUUCGUUAUAAAGGUUUUUUAAUGGCACCCCAUAAUGGUUCUUAUACUUUUAUUAUACAUACUGAUUGUUUUGUUCGAUUAUUAAUAAAUAAAAAAGUCGUUAUAAUUCAUGGUUUUAAAGAAGUUGAUAAUGAACAAGAGAUAUAUAUUAAUGUUAAUAAUAAAACAACAAUACCAAAAUUAAAUUUAGUUAAAAAUACAACAUCAAAUUUAAAUACAUUAAUAAAUACAAAUGAAUAUGAUACUAUUAAACAAAUUAUUUAUCCUAUUAUAUAUGAUGAAAAUAAAGAUGAAAUAAAAAAAUAUUCUAACCCUAUCGAAUUAGUAGGUGGUGAAAAACAUGAAAUAAUAGUAGAAAUAUCUUACUCAGGUCAUUUAAAAUAUAAUAAAACUGAAACUAGUUUUUUUAAAUUAUUAUGGAAAUCAAGUAGAAUAGAUGAACAAAUAAUACAAAGUGGUUAUUUUUUUAGUAAAAAUAUAAUACCACCUACUAGAUUUUCAUUAAUCGAUGCUAAUUUAUUUGAAAUAGGUUUAUUAGAUAAAAAUGAAACAAUAUAUAAAAAAAAAUAUACUCAAUCUAUAGUUAGUAAUAAACAAAAGGGAGAAGGGGUAGAGGUAGGGGUAGAGGUAGGGGUAGGGGUAGAGGUAGAGGUAGAAGAGAAGCAAGAAGAUGAAGAAAAUAUAUCUAACUGGGUAAUCGAAUCAGUACCAACUAAAUAUAUUAACUUACAUACAUUAAAAACAUAUAAGAAUCCUAAUUUUACAACUUUUCGUUUAUCAAUAAAUACAGGUUCUAUAUUAUAUAUCGCCUUUCCAUAUGAAGAUAAUUUACCAAUUAGUCCAGUAAAAGAAUCUGCAUGGAAAGCAUAUGAUACUAGUGAUAUAAUAGAAGUAAAAAAUAAAAUAACAAAUGAAAAAAAAAAUUUAAAAUAA